rnacentral:tmRNA from 1 species
GGCCUUCAAAAUUUAUCAGUCUUCGCCUAUAUGGUGUGCGCCGGAGCGAUCCGGCUAUGGCGAUAAACGGCCCGUGCAAUAAGCGGUUCGGACCCGGGGGCGGUACCCGGCGGCUCCACCCAAGUCUCUCUCGCAAGCGGCGACGGAGAUUUCGGCGGGGCCGAAAUAGGAUCGACGAGCGUGUAAAGACGACGCUUUCGCCCGGGUGAUCUCCGUUAUUGGAUCACAUGCAAUAGUUGCCAACGACAACUAUAAGCAAGAGUUCGCCCUCGCUGCGUAAUGCGGCUGGGUGAUCUCACCUUCAAGUCCUGACCGUUUUGCACGGUCAGGCGGGGCCCCCCGGCGCCUGGCAACAGAAGCCGGGGACU